rnacentral:lncRNA from 1 species
CACAAUGUAUAGGACAAGAGCGAAUGGCCUCAAGUUGUGUCAGGGGAGGAUCAGGUUGGAUAUUAGGAAAAAUUUCUUCUCUGAAAAAGUGGUCAGGCACUGGAAUGGGGGUGGAGGAGCCACUAUCCAUGGAGGUGAUAAGGCAGGGAUAGAUGUGGUGCUAAGGGACAUGGUUAGUGGGCAAUAUUGGUAGUAGGUGGACGAUUGGACUGGAUGAUCUUAGAGCUCUUUUCCAACCUUAAUGAUUCUAUGAUUCUAUAAUUCUCUAUCAACUGGUGAGUGGGUAUCACAACGCCCUGAGGCUAGGCUGAAGAACCAUGUAGGCAACAGGCAGAAGUAGUGCAAAUACACACACACAUUUAUACAAAAUAGAUAUAAUUUGCAUUAUGCUUUUUGGGUGUACACGAAUAGCACAUCCUUUGCAAUCAGUAAUGCAAGAGAUUCCCUCAGCCCCAGGCUCACUGCUCAAGCUCCCUUGUACAAAUCCAGGGAGCGUCAUGCAGUCACAGAGAUGCUCUCCUCAGUGCACAUUCCUACGAUCUGCUGAGUUCUCCACCCUUGCAGAAAACGAUACUGCUCCAAUUUUAUUAUUUUUUUUAAGUCUAACAAGGGUAAUUAUAAUAGGAUUAACAGAUUUUUUUUUUUCCCUCCACAAAGUACAACUGUCUCAUAUCAGAGAGAGUAUUAUAGCAGACUUAUGACUAGACGAGUUUUUACUGUAUAUGGAAAUGUAUUAAAAUGAAUGUAUGGCUCAAACACACGCAUCGCUCACUGUAUUGUUUUGCAGCAGCUACUUCUCCCACAAAGGGCGACCACAUGUGAAGAGCGAGAUUCCCAAUAGAGGAAUUCCCUGUUGAGUAAGACUGGAG